GACGAACGCUGGCGGCGUGCUUAACACAUGCAAGUCGAACGAAGAGCGAUGGAAGCUUGCUUCUAUCAAUCUUAGUGGCGAACGGGUGAGUAACGCGUAAUCAACCUGCCCUUCAGAGGGGGACAACAGUUGGAAACGACUGCUAAUACCGCAUACGAUCCAACCUCGGCAUCGAGGAUGGAUGAAAGGUGGCCUCUAUUUAUAAGCUAUCACUGAAGGAGGGGAUUGCGUCUGAUUAGCUAGUUGGAGGGGUAACGGCCCACCAAGGCAAUGAUCAGUAGCCGGUCUGAGAGGAUGAACGGCCACAUUGGGACUGAGACACGGCCCAGACUCCUACGGGAGGCAGCAGUGGGGAAUCUUCCGCAAUGGACGAAAGUCUGACGGAGCAACGCCGCGUGAGUGAUGACGGCCUUCGGGUUGUAAAGCUCUGUUAAUCGGGACGAAUGAUCCUCUUGCGAAUAGUGGAGGAAGGUGUGGUACCGGAAUAGAAU
rnacentral:rRNA from 1 species